rnacentral:rRNA from 1 species
UACGUAGGGUGCGAGCGUUAAUCGGAAUUACUGGGCGUAAAGUGUGCGCAGGCGGCCGCGCAAGUCGAGAGUGAAAGCCCCGGGCUUAACUUGGGAAUUGCGCUCGAAACUACGUGGCUGGAGUGUGGCAGAGGAAGGUGGAAUUCCACGUGUAGCGGUGAAAUGCGUAGAGAUGUGGAGGAACACCAAUGGCGAAGGCAGCCUUCUGGGCCAACACUGACGCUCAUGCACGAAAGCGUGGGGAGCAAACAGG